rnacentral:rRNA from 1 species
AUUGAACGCUGGCGGCAUGCCUUACACAUGCAAGUCGAACGGUAACAGGUUAAGCUGACGAGUGGCGAACGGGUGAGUAAUGUAUCGGAACGUGCCCAGUCGUGGGGGAUAACUGCUCGAAAGAGCAGCUAAUACCGCAUACGACCUGAGGGUGAAAGCGGGGGAUCGCAAGACCUCGCGCGAUUGGAGCGGCCGAUACCAGAUUAGGUAGUUGGUGAGGUAAAGGCUCACCAAGCCGACGAUCUGUAGCUGGUCUGAGAGGACGACCAGCCACACUGGGACUGAGACACGGCCCAGACUCCUACGGGAGGCAGCAGUGGGGAAUUUUGGACAAUGGGCGCAAGCCUGAUCCAGCCAUGCCGCGUGCGGGAAGAAGGCCUUCGGGUUGUAAACCGCUUUUGUCAGGGAAGAAAAGGUUCUGGCUAAUACCUGGGACUCAUGACGGUACCUGAAGAAUAAGCACCGGCUAACUACGUG